rnacentral:rRNA from 1 species
UACGUAGGGGGCAAGCGUUGUCCGGAUUUAUUGGGCGUAAAGAGCGUGUAGGCGGCCAGGCAGGUCCGCUGUGAAAACUCGAGGCUCAACCUCGAGAGGUCGGUGGAAACCGUCUGGCUAGAGUCCGGAAGAGGAGAGUGGAAUUCCCGGUGUAGCGGUGAAAUGCGCAGAUAUCGGGAAGAACACCCGUGGCGAAGGCGGUUCUCUGGGACGGUACUGACGCUGAGACGCGAAAGCGUGGGGAGCGAACAGG